AUUCCGUGAUGAGGGCAUUUUUGUAAUAAUUCUUUGUAUCGUUUCAUGCCUCAUACAAGGACUCAUCAUUAAUUUGUUGGAAGGCAGUGAUCUCGUUCCUCAACUU
rnacentral:snoRNA from 1 species